rnacentral:rRNA from 1 species
UACGGGGGGGGUAAGCGUUGUUCGGAAUUACUGGGCGUAAAGGGCUCGUAGGCGGCCAACUAAGUCAGACGUGAAAUCCCUCAGCUUAACUGGGGAACUGCGUCUGAUACUGGAUGGCUUGAGUUUGGGAGAGGGAUGCGGAAUUCCAGGUGUAGCGGUGAAAUGCGUAGAUAUCAGGAGGAACACCGGUGGCGAAGGCGGGUCUCUGGGCCGAUACUGACGCUGAGGAGCGAAAGCGUGGGGAGCGAACAGG